rnacentral:lncRNA from 7 species
GAAGGGAGAUCUUCUCAGAGAGAACUGUCGGUUUCAGUGUUUUCUCUUGCCUGUUGCUCUGCAUCAGUGAAGGCGUUGGAUGCUCACUGCCUGCUGUGCAGCACAACUCAUGGAUAAUGGCCCAAAUAUUCUCUCCAGAGAAACAAGUCGUUUGGAAACUGCAUUACACCAUCAGCGUGGUAUUAGAUAAUCCUUGCCAAGUGAUCCCACUGAAUGCCAGCUGGAAUAAGAUUAGCUCCUCCUGAACCUGAGACAUGAAACAAUGACUGCCAGAGACUCCUGGUCUGCAUUUGAACUCUCCAGAAGAUGAAGUGUCCUUCUAUCUCUAUUUCUUCUUCUUCCCCGUGAAAGUCAAGCUGUGAGCAUGUGAGGGGGCAGUGCAUCUCAAUUGCAUUCUGCCAUCGUCCUGAUAAAUCCAGCAGUAUGUGGCAGCAGACUCCCAAUCUCCUACAACGGCAAAAUAACCUGUCAGAUGACAACGAGCUAUUUCAAAGACAUAUGAAAAAAAGGAAAAUUGUUUCCAUCCCCUUGAAUGAAUUGCCUUUAUAGAUCUGAUCUGCAGUGAUCGAAGUGGACUUGGUGCCUCAGAGCAAAGCAAACACAUAUGUUUAGGAAGGCUUUUAAACUACUUGGCACCAAAUCACCUCUUGCCACCCAGAGAAUACUUUUUCAGCCUUAAGGGCUUCUGAUGUGUCUGAAGCACUGGCUUUCAGACUCCACAUUUCUCUUUGAGAUACAGUUGGUGGUGUGGUGCUAUGUGUGACCUCAGACAUCUGGACUUGCUGUCAGCCAGAAUCUUCAGCGUUUGCAGCACCAUACUGAGGCUCUUUCACAUCAGAUGGAGAGAAAAAUAUUCCCAGAUAUUGGCUCUCUCCCAGAAACUGUACUUCCCUUGGAUCACACCUCAUGUGAAGCUCUAUAAGAACUGAAAAGAGAGAUGGGUUAUUGGCUUAUUUUACACAGCCUGUCUGUUGGCUUUAUUGUAACAGACGACAGCUCCAGCCUGGAGGAGGCACGACUGCAUGUUGCUUUCUGCAUAUAUACUAUUUUGCCUGCUGUUUCAAUUUGAUUCUGUAUUUUCUCACUGAAGAGUAUAAGACAAAUAAAAGCUAUCUCACUUCCGU